CAGCCACUGGUUGCAGCAUGCAGAUCGAGCGCCUUGCAGAGCAGCGUGAUCCACGUCUCCUGUCGUGCCUUCACUGGUGACAGCCAGAAGCGAGACCACCAGUUUGAGACCAUAAAAUACACAGAGUUGAGACUUGAAUUUGAUCACCUGGACAAAUUUCUGAUAUUGUGUAGGUUCAUUUAUAAGCCAAUCAAGUUUUCUUUUGGAUCUUAAUGUUUUCUCAAGAGCUGAUUAUUUCAGACGAAUAAAGAUCAGUGUAUGUGUAUGUUAGUCCUCUUCAAAUAGGGACCUUGAAAGAUAAUCUGAAACCUAACCUGAAGAGGAUAGGGACACUGAGGUGACCUGAGCUACAGAGACACUGGUCACUCUCACACAGGGGAAUAAUAAUGUUACUUGCUCUGGCAGAGGGAGCAAACCAGCAAUCAGGCUGGAUUUGUGAAGUCUAUGGACUGUGAGAGUUUUUUUUUUUUUGGAAAAGGAGGAUGAUAAGAUAGGUGCACUGUUAAUGAUAACAUGGGAAAUGUUUCAGUUGACUUGUAAGCUUGUUAAAUAGAAAAUCUAUACCCCAUAGCUGUCAGGAGUAGGUUGGACAGUGAACAGUGUGAUACAAAGAUGUUUUGUUGUCUUUGAUAUUUCUGUUGAAGAUUCAGUAAAAGGAAGAAAAUGUUUAUUAUUUUAGUUGUGGAAAUACUGGGAAAAGAGUAUGAAAGCAUAUGGGUUACUAGAAUGUUAAGUUAAAGUUGUUUACAGUAAAUAUUCACAGAGACAAUGACAGUUAGUAUCAGAAGAUCCUGUCAAUGUAUUAUCUUGAUGUUGAGUGCGCAUGUCAUAUAGGAUGAUGUAGGCGGAAGCAUUAAGUUCGGUGUUGCUGUACAGGAGAAGGAGCAGUAAAGAUACAUGGAGAACAAGCUCA